CAAUAAGAGUGUUUAUGGCACUCUUCAAAAAAAUCCAUACCCACCUUGUGUGCAAUGUAAAAAAGGAAGCAACAGGAAAGAGGGUCCCUUGGUGACAAGGGCCUGUUUUCAGCGCUUUCUUUUUCUUUAUAUACACCUUUCUAUAAGUUCCUAUUGUCUGAAGCUGUUAGAGAAUGACUAAUUCUUAAACA
rnacentral:misc_RNA from 1 species